AUUGAACGCUGGCGGCAGGCCUAACACAUGCAAGUCGAGCGGAUGAAGCGAGCUUGCUCCUGGAUUCAGCGGCGGACGGGUGGGUAAUGCCUAGGAAUCUGCCUGGUAGUGGGGGAUAACGUCCGGAUACGGGCGCUAAUAUCGCAGACGUCCUGAGGGAGAAAGUGGGGGAUCUUCGGACCUCACGCUAUCAGAUGAACCUAGGUCUGAAUAGCUAGUUGGUGGGGUAAAGGCCUACCAAGGCGACGAUCCGUAACUGGGCUGAGAGGAUGACCAGUCACACUGGAACUGAGACACGGUCCAGACUCCUACAGGGAGCAGCAGUGGAGAAUAUUGGAGGAUGGGCGAGAGCCUGAUCCAGCCAUACCGCGUGUGUGAAGAAGGUCUUCGGAUUGUAAAACACUUUAAGUUGGGAGGAAGGACAGUAAUUUAAUACCUUGCUGUAUUGACGUUACCAACAGAAUAAGCACCGGCUAACUUCGUG
rnacentral:rRNA from 1 species